rnacentral:sRNA from 1 species
UAAUUUUUUUAAAUAUUUCACAUAUAUACCGACACAAAACGUAGGGUGCCUUAAUUACCUUUAAAUAUUAAAGUGAAUACCUGUUAAAAAGGUUACGUUUUGGGGCAUAUAGAGGCAAAAC